rnacentral:lncRNA from 1 species
GGAGGUUUCAUUAUGCAGUCAUGGUUCAUUAAAUGGUGAUUAACAAUCUUCAGCCUGUUGCCUCUAGCGAGUGCAUGUCUUUGAGGAGGUGGCGUUGGGAGGCCCCCUAAGGACCCUCUGCCUCUCCUCGGGUCCUUGCCCUGAGUGUGGUAAAACAUGGAGAAACAGGGCUCUUAGCAGAAAGUAGGGGAGUCAGGACUGAUAGAGUGCCAAGUGGAAGUUUAUUUAAAGUGAGGUAAAUACAGAGAAAGCGGAAGAGACAGCAUCUCAGCAGCAGAGUGGAGCUAGGAGAAGAAGCAGCCUGCUUGGGAAGCUCCAAGCCAGCAGGCAGAGGAGCCCUUUGAAGGACUGUUACAGAUGCAGCAGCAACAGUAGCAGCAUAGAUGCUCUGGGGCUGGGAGACCAGCAUCUGAAGGAGCCAGAAGUGUCACCACCAGCCUUCUCACCAGCAGAAAGAGGAUGGGAAACAUCUACAUGUCUUCAUCUGCUGCAGACCCUGAAAUGGCCACUUUGGCAACACAGGAGACCUGGAGCUUGGGCUUUAGUAGAUCAAGCUUUAGUAUUAUGGGAUUGGGUAGGAGCUCAAGUGGAUGGAGAGGCAAGUGGGAUGAUUGACAGACUUCAGAGACAAAGGAAAAUAGUGGGAUAUUAUAAUGAAUAAUAUAAUCAUAUAAAUAAUAUUAAACACAUGUGUUGUUUAGCUUUUUGUUUUUAAAUCACUGUGACCAAAUACUUGAGAAUAUCAAC